rnacentral:rRNA from 1 species
GUUAAACCGGAGGAAGGUGGGGAUGACGUCAAGUCCUCAUGGCCUUUAUGCCUAGGGCUACACACGUGCUACAAUGGGUAGGGUACAAAGAGUCGCAAACCCGCGAGGGGGAGCUAAAUCUCAAAAACGACCAUCCUCAGUUCGGAUUGGAGUCUGCAACUCGACCCCAUGAAGUCGGAAUCGCUAGUAAUCGCGGAUCAGCAUGCCGCGGUGAAUACGUUCCCGGGCCUU